ACUUUGCAGUGCUCACACAGAUUGUCUGAUAGAAAGUGAAAAGCAAGGCGUCUUGCGAAGCAGACUGAUACGUCCCCUUCGUCUAGAGGCCCAGGACACCGCCCUUUCACGGCGGUAACAGGGGUUCGAAUCCCCUAGGGGACGCCACUUGCUGGUUUGUGAGUGAAAGUCACCUGCCUUAAUAUCUCAAAACUCAUCUUCGGGUGAUGUUUGAGAUAUUUGCUCUUUAAAAAUCUGGAUCAAGCUGAAAAUUGAAACACUGAACAACGAAAGUUGUUCGUGAGUCUCUCAAAUUUUCGCAACACGAUGAUGAAUCGUAAGAAACAUCUUCGGGUUGUGAGGUUAAGCGACUAAGCGUACACGGUGGAUGCCCUGGCAGUCAGAGGCGAUGAAGNNNNNNNNNNGGAAGUUUUCAGAGAUGAGAAUGUGCCUUCGGGAACCGUGAGACAGGUGCUGCAUGGCUGUCGUCAGCUCGUGUUGUGAAAUGUUGGGUUAAGUCCCGCAACGAGCGCAACCCUUAUCCUUUGUUGCCAGCGGUCCGGCCGGGAACUCAAAGGAGACUGCCAGUGAUAAACUGGAGGAAGGUGGGGAUGACGUCAAGUCAUCAUGGCCCUUACGACCAGGGCUACACACGUGCUACAAUGGCGCAUACAAAGAGAAGCGACCUCGCGAGAGCAAGCGGACCUCAUAAAGUGCGUCGUAGUCCGGAUUGGAGUCUGCAACUCGACUCCAUGAAGUCGGAAUCGCUAGUAAUCGUGGAUCAGAAUGCCACGGUGAAUACGUUCCCGGGCCUUGUACACACCGCCCGUCACACCAUGGGAGUGGGUUGCAAAAGAAGUAGGUAGCUUAACCUUCGGGAGGGCGCUUACCACUUUGUGAUUCAUGACUGGGGUGAAGUCGUAACAAGGUAACCGUAGGGGAACCUGCGGUUG
rnacentral:rRNA from 1 species